UCUCGAAUUAAGCAUAAGGACCUGCAUAUUACACCAUUUUUAAGCCAUUUCUCAAAUUUUAAAAGUUAUAAUUCCGUUUUUCUCUUUUCAUAGUCUGAAAACUCUAAAACUUAGCGUGCUUCGAACUGAACCAUUCUCUUGGUUCUCAUUUUGUACAUAACACGAUGCCCACACUCUCGACAACGAAUAACUUCUUUCGCUUGGAUUGUAUUACGCGCUCCGCAAUCUGAUGGUCAGUCUUUUAUCAUAUACUCAUUUAAUUCUACUCAAUGAUCAUACCCGCACAUAAAUAAAUCAUAGUGGCUGGUCUGGGGGGAUUGAAAGCGGUACCGCCAGUGGAGGUUGGAUGAUUCAUUUUGU